rnacentral:rRNA from 1 species
CCCUUAGAUGUCCGGGACCGCACGCGCGCUACACUGAAGGAAUCAGCGUGGCUUUCUCCCUGACCCGAAAGGGUUGGGAAACCCGUUGAAUCUCCUUCGUGAUAGGGAUUGGGGCUUGAAAUUGUUCCCCAUGAACGAGGAAUUCCCAGUAAGCGCGAGUCAUAAGCUCGCGUUGAUUACGUCCCUGCCCUUUGUACACACCGCCCGUCGCUACUACCGAUUGAACGGUUUAGUGAGGGCCUCGGAUUGGUCUCGGCCCGCUCUUUACCGGGCGGCGCCGUUGGUCGAGAAGACGCUCGAACUUGAUCGUUUAGAGGAAGUAAAAGUCGUAACA